GCCCUCGUAGCUCAGGGGAUAGAGCACCGCUCUCCUAAAGCGGGUGUCGCAGGUUCGAAUCCUGCCGAGGGCAC
rnacentral:tRNA from 6 species